CUGAUUUGGACUGGAGAGAAAGGAAGUUGUAAGUAGAUGAUUUUUGACUGGAGAGAGAGGAUGUAAGUAGCUGAUUGGGACCGGAGAACGAGGAAGUAUGUAUCUGAUUUGGACUUGAGAAUGAGGAGGUUGUCGGUAGCUGAUUUGGACUGGAGAGAGAUGAAGAAAGAAGCUGAUUUGGACAGGAGAGAGAGGAAGCAGGUAGCUGAUUUGGACUGGAGACAGAGAAGGGUUUAGGGAGCUGAUUUGGAUUAGAGAGAUAGGAAGUAGGUAGCUGAUAUUGAAUGGAAAGAGAGGAAGUAGGUAGCUGAUUUGGACUGGAGAGAGAAGAUGAUUGGUACUGUGGAAAGUGGAAGUAUGAAGCUCAUGUGGACGGGAGCUAGAGGAAGUCGGUAGCUGAUUUGGAAUGGAGAGAGAGGAAGUAGGUUGCAUAUUUUAACUGGAGAGUGAAUAAGUAGGUAGUUGAUUUGGACUGGAGAAAGAGGAAUUAGGUAGCUGAUUUGGACGGGAGAGAGAGGAAAUAGGUAGCUGAUUUGGACAGGAGAGAGCGGAAGUAGGUAGUUGAUUUUGACUUGAGAGAGAGGAAUUAGGUAGCUUAUUUGAAAUGGAGAGAGUGGAAGUAGGUACCUUAUUUGGACUUGAGAGAGAGGAAGUAGGUUAUUGAUUUUGACUGGAGAAAGAAGAAGUAGAUCAUUGAUUUGGACUUAAUAAAUUGGAGGUUGUAGGUAGAUGAUUAGGACUGGAAAGAGAGUAGAUUGUAAGUAGCUGAUUUUGACUGGAGAGAGUACAAGAAGAAAGAUGAUUUGGACAGGAGAGAGGAAGUAGGUUUCUGAUUUGGACUGGAGAGAGAGGAAGUAGGUAGACGAUUUGGACUGGAGAAAGAGGAAGUAGGUAAUUGAUUUGGAUUUGAGAAAGAGGAGAUUAUAGGUAGUUGAUUUGGACUAGAGAGAGAGAGGAGGUAGGUAGCUGAUUUGGACUGUAAAGAAAGGAGGUUGUAAGUAGCUGAUUUGAGACUUGAGAGAGAGGACGUAGGUAGCUUAUUUGGACUGGAGAGAGAGGAGGAAGUAGGUAUCUGAUUUUUACUGGAGAGAGAGGAGGCUGUAAGCAGCUGAUUUGGACAGGAGAGAAAGGAAGUAAGUAGCUGAUAUGGAAUGGCAAGAGAGGAAGUAGGUAGCUGAUUCGGACUGGAAAGAGAUGAGGUUGUAGGAAGCUGAUGUGGACUGGAGAGAGAAAUGCCGUCAGUAGCUGAUUUGGACUGGAGAGAGAGGAAGUAGUUAUCUGAUUUUUACUGGAGAGAGAGGAGGCUGUAAGCAGCUGAUUUGGGCUGGAGAGAAAGGAAGUAAGUAGCUGAUAUGGAAUGGCAAGAGAGGAAUUAGGUAGCUGAUUUGGACUGGAAAGAGAUGAGGUUGUAGGUUGCUGAUGUGGACUGGAGAGAGAAAUGCCGUCGGUAGCUUAUUUGGACUGGAGAGAGAGGUUGUAUGUAGCUGAUUUGGACUGGAGAGAGAAGAUGAUUUGGACUGGAGAAAGAGGAAGUAGGUAGCGGAUUUGGACAGGAGAGAGAGGAAGUUGGUUACUGAUUUGGACUGGAGAGAGAGGAAGUAGGCAGCUUAUUUGGACUGGAGAAAGAGGAAGUAGGUCAUUGAUUUGUUCUUAAAAUGGGUAGGUUGUUGGUUGCUGAUUUGGACCGGAGAGAGAGGAGGUUGUAAGUAGCUGAUUUGACUGGAGAGAGAGGAGGUUGUAAGUAGCUGAUUUGAGACUGGAUAGAGGGGAAGUAGGUAGUUGAUUUGAACUGGAGAGAGAGGAAUUAGUUAACUGUUUUGGACUUAAAAGAGGAGGUUGUAGGUAGCUGAUUUUGACUUGAGAGAGAGGAAUUAGGUAGCUGAUUUGGAAUGGAGAGAGUGGAAGUAGGUACCUUAUUUGGACUUGAGAAAGAGGAAGUAUGUAGCUGAUUUGGACUGGAGAGAGAGGAGGAUGUAGGUAGCUGAUUUGGACUAGAGAGAGAGGAGGAUGUAGGUAGCUGAUUUGGAUUGGAGAGAGAUAGGUUGUAGGUUGCUAAUUUUGGACUGGAGAGAGACUAGAUUGUAUGUAGCUGAUUUUUACUGGAGAGAUAGGAAGCAUGUAGCUUAUUUGGACUGGAGUGAGAAGAUGAUUUUGACUGGAGAGAGAUGAAAUAGGUAGAUCAUGUGGACUGGAGAGAGAGGAAGUUGAUAGCUUAUUUGGACUGGUGAGAGAGGAAGAAGGUAGCUGAUUUGGAAUGGAGAGAGAGGAAGUAGGUAGCUUAUUUGGACUGGAGAGAGAGGAAGUAUGUACAGUAGCUGAUUUGGACUGGAGAGAGAGGAAGUCGGUAGCUGAUUUGGACUGGAGAGAGGGGAGGUUGUAGGUAGCUAAUUUGGACUGGGGAGAGAAAGAUUGUAGGUUGCUGAUUUGGACUGGAGAGAGAGAUUGCAGGUAGUUUAUUUUGACUGGAGAGAGAAGAUGAUUUGGGCUGGAGCGAGAGGAAGUAGGUAGCUGUUUUGGACUGGAGAGAGAGGCACUAGGUAAUUGAUUUGGACUGGAGAAAGAGGAAGUUGGUAAUUGAUUUGGACUUAAGAAAUAGGAGGUUGUAGGUAGCUGAUUUAGGACUGGAGAGAGAGUAAGUAGGAAGAUGAUUUGGACUGGAGAGAGUGGAAGUAGGCAGCUAAUUUGGCCUGGAGAAAGAAGAGGUUGUAAGUGGCUGAUUUGAGACUGGAUAGAGGGGAAGUAGGUAGUUGAUUUGGACUGGGGAAAGAGGAAGUAGGUAGCGGAUUUGGACUGGAGAGAGUGGAAGUAGGUAGCUGAUUUGGACUGGUGAGAGACGAAGUAUGCGGCUGAUUUGGACUGGAGAAAGAGGAAGUAGGUAGCUGAUUUGGACUGUAGAGAGAAGCGGUAGUUAGUAGCUGAUUUGAGACUGGAGAGAGGGGAUGUAGGUAGUUGAUUUAGACUGGAGGGAGAGGAAGUAGGUACUUUAUUUCAACUUAAGAAUGAGGAGGUUGUAGGUAGCUGAUUUUGACUUGAGCGAGAGGAAUUAGGUAGCUGAUUUGGAAUGUAGAGAGUGGAAGUAGGUACCUUAUUUGGACUUGAGAAAGAGGAAGUUUGUAGCUGAUUUUGACUGGACAUGAGUGGAGGUUGUAGGUAGCUGAUUUGGAUUGGAGAGAGAGAAAGGUUGUAGGUAUCUGAUUUUGGACUGGAGAGGGAGUAGAUUGGAAGUAGCUGAUUAUGACUGGAGAGAGAGGAAGUAGGUAGUUAAUUUGGACAGGAGAGAGAAGAAGUAGGUAGUUAAUUUGGACAGGAGAAAGAGUUAGUAGGUAAUUGAUUUGGACUUGAGAAAGAGCAGGUUGUAGGUAGCUGAUUUGGUUUGGAGAGAGAAAGGUUGUAGGUAGCUGAUUUUGGACUGGAGAGAGAGUAUACUGUAAGUAGCUGAUUUUGACUGGAGAGAGAGGAAGUAGGUAGUUAAUUUGGACUGGAGAAAGAGUUAGCAGGUAAAUUAUUUGGACUUGAGAAAGAGCAGGUUGUAGGUAGCUGAUUUUGGACUGGAUCGAGAGGAGGUUGUAAGUAGCUAAUUUUGACUGUGGAGAGAGGAAGUCGGUAGCUGAUUUGGACUGGAGAAAGAGGACAUUGGAAGUAUAUGAUUUGGACUUGAAUGAGUGGAAGUGUGUUGCUGAUUUGAACUGGAGAGAGAGGAAGUAGGUAGCUGAUUUGGACUGGAGAGAGAGAUUAGGUUGUAGGUAGCAGAUUUUGACUGGAGAGAGGGG
rnacentral:lncRNA from 1 species